rnacentral:rRNA from 1 species
GACGAACGCUGGCGGCGUGCUUAAUACAUGCAAGUCGAGCGAGGUUACUGCGACAGAUCCCUUCGGGGUGAAGUUGCUUUAGCCUAGCGGCGGACGGGUGAGUAACGCGUGGGUAACCUACCCUAAAGUUCGGGAUAACAGCGGGAAACCGCUGCUAAUACCGGAUGCCUUUACCGUGUGGCAUCACAGGGUAAAGAAAGGUAACGCUUUAGGAUGGGCCCGCGUCCCAUUAGCUAGUUGGUGAGGUAACAGCUCACCAAGGCGACGAUGGGUAGCCGGCCUGAGAGGGUGGACGGCCACACUGGGACUGAGACACGGCCCAGACUCCUACGGGAGGCAGCAGUAGGGAAUAUUGCGCAAUGGACGGAAGUCUGACGCAGCGACGCCGCGUGAGCGAUGAAGGCCUUCGGGUUGUAAAGCUCUGUCCUUGGGGAAGAAGGUCUUCGGACUUGACGGUACCCAAGAAGAAAGCCCCGGCUAACUACGUGCCAGCAGCCGCGGUAAUACGUAGGGGGCGAGCGUUGUCCGGAAUUACUGGGCGUAAAGGGUGCGUAGGCGGCCCUUUAAGUCAGAUGUGAAAGCCCGCAGCUUAACUGCGGAAUUGCAUUUGAAACUGGAGGGCUUGAGUGUCGGAGAGGGUAGUGGAAUUCCCAGUGUAGCGGUGAAAUGCGUAGAUAUUGGGAGGAACACCAGUGGCGAAAGCGACUGCCUGGACGAUAACUGACGCUGAGGCACGAAAGCUAGGGGAGCAAACAGG